AUUGAACGCUGGCGGCAUGCUUUACACAUGCAAGUCGAACGGCAGCACGGGCUUCGGCCUGGUGGCGAGUGGCGAACGGGUGAGUAAUACAUCGGAACGUACCCAGUAGUGGGGGAUAGCCCGGCGAAAGCCGGAUUAAUACCGCAUAUGCCCUGAGGGGGAAAGCGGGGGACCGAAAGGCCUCGCGGUAUUGGAGCGGCCGAUGGCUGAUUAGCUAGUUGGUGGGGUAAAGGCCUACCAAGGCGACGAUCAGUAGCUGGUCGGAGAGGACGACCAGCCACACUGGGACUGAGACACGGCCCAGACUCCUACGGGAGGCAGCAGUGGGGAAUUUUGGACAAUGGGCGAAAGCCUGAUCCAGCAAUGCCGCGUGUGCGAAGAAGGCCUUCGGGUUGUAAAGCACUUUUGUUUGGAAAGAAAAGGUUUGGGUUAAUACCCUGGACUGAUGACGGUACCAAUCGAAUAAGCACCUGCUAACUACGUGCCAGCCGCCGCAGUAA
rnacentral:rRNA from 1 species